GAACCAUGAUGUGGGCAAGAACUUAACAAAUCUUUGAAACGUUCCCAACAAUGAAAAAAUGGUUCAUUUGAAUUUUGCAAGAAAUUUUGAAUCUGUUGUGUUG
rfam:Gossypium hirsutum cultivar TM-1 chromosome 19, whole genome shotgun sequence